rnacentral:rRNA from 1 species
CAACCUACCUUAUACAGGGGGAUAGCCCGAGGGAAACCCGGAUUAAUACCCCGUAGUAUUUAUUUCCUGCAUAGGGAGAUUGAAUUAAAGCCUUCGGUCGGUAUAAGACGGGCAUGCGUAGGAUUAGCCUAGUUGGUAAGGUAACUGGCUUACCAAGGCGACAGAUCCCUUAAGGGGUUCCUGAGAAGGAAAGGUCCCCCACACAUGGCACUGAGAUACCGGGCCAGACGUCWUACGGGAGGCAGCAGUUACGGGAAUAUUGGGCAAUUGGUCGCAAGACUGACCCAGCCAUGCCAGCGUGCAGGAAGACAGGCGUUAUGCGUUGUAAACGUGCCUUUAUAUACGGGAAGAAUAAUGCCAGCUGCGGUGGAACAUUGCCGGUACCAGUAUGAAUAAGCACCGGCUAACUCCGUGCCAGCAGCCGCGGUAAUACGGAGGGUGCAAGCGUUGUCCGGAUUUAUUGGGUUUAAAGGGGUGCGUAGGCGGCCGUUUAAGUUCAGUGGUGAAAUGUACAGGGCUCAACCCCUGUAACUGCCAUUGAUACUGGCCGGCUUGAGUUUUGAUGGGGUACAUGGAAUUUAUGGUGUAGCGGUGAAAUUGCAUAGAUAUCUCAUAAGGAACACCGAUAGCGAAGGCAGUUGUACUUAUCAACUAACUGACGCUGAGGCACGAAAGCCGUGGGUAGCAGAACAGGAUUAGAUACCCUGGUAGUCCACGCCGUAAACGAUGAUCACCUCGUCUGUUAUCUCCUUCGCGGGGUAGUGGCAUUACGGAAACCGUUAAGUAUCCACCUGGG